rnacentral:rRNA from 1 species
AGCGAACACUGGCGGCAGGCCUAACACAUGCAAGUCGAGCGCCCAGCAAUGGGAGCGGCAGACGGGAGAGUAACACGUGGGAACGUACCCUUCAGUUCGGAACAACCCAGGGAAACUUGGGCUAAUACCGAAUACGUCCGUAAGGAGAAAGAUUUAUCGCUGAAGGAUCGGCCCGCGUCUGAUUAGCUAGUUGGUGAGGUAACGGCUCACCAAGGCGACGAUCAGUAGCUGGUCUGAGAGGAUGAUCAGCCUCACUGGGACUGAGACACGGCCCAGACUCCUACGGGAGGCAGCAGUGGGGAAUAUUGGACAAUGGGCGCAAGCCUGAUCCAGCCAUGCCGCGUGGAUGAUGAAGGCCCUAGGGUUGUAAAGUCCUUUCGACGGGGAAGAUAAUGACGGUACCCGUAGAAGAAGCCCCGGCUAACUUCGUGCCAGCAGCCGCUGUAACAC